GCACCGGUAGCUUAGUUGGUAAAGCAAGGAGCUUUUAACUCCGAGAGCGAAGGUUCGAGUCCUUCUCGGUGCA
rnacentral:tRNA from 1 species